rnacentral:rRNA from 1 species
UACGUAGGGUGCAAGCGUUGUCCGGAAUUAUUGGGCGUAAAGAGCUCGUAGGCGGUCUGUUGCGUCGGCCGUGAAAACCCGGGGCUCAACUCCGGGCCUGCAGCCGAUACGGGGCAGACUAGAGUUCGGCAGGGGAGACUGGAAUUCCUGGUGUAGCGGUUGAAAUGCGCAGAUAUCAGGAGGAACACCGGUGGCGAAGGCGGGUCUCUGGGCCGAUACUGACGCUGGAGGCACGAAGGCCAGGGGAGCAAACGGG